rnacentral:rRNA from 1 species
CCUACGGGGGGCAGCAGUGAGGAAUAUUGGUCAAUGGACGAGAGUCUGAACCAGCCAAGUAGCGUGAAGGAUGACUGCCCUAUGGGUUGUAAACUUCUUUUGUCAAGGGACAAAAUCAGGCUCGAGAGCCUGACCGAGGGUACUUGAAGAAAAAGCAUCGGCUAACUCCGUGCCAGCAGCCGCGGUAAUACGGAGGAUGCGAGCGUUAUCCGGAUUUAUUGGGUUUAAAGGGUGCGUAGGCGGGCUGUUAAGUCAGAGGUAAAAGCCCGGGGCUCAACCCCGGCGAGCCGUUGAAACUGGCUGUCUUGAGAUGUCGAGAGGUAUGCGGAAUGCGCAGUGUAGCGGUGAAAUGCUUAGAUAUUGCGCAGAACUCCGAUUGCGAAGGCAGCAUACCGGCGGCGAUCUGACGCUGAGGCACGAAAGCGUGGGUAUCGAACAGGAUUAGAUACCCGGGUAGUC